rnacentral:tRNA from 1 species
CAAGGACAGAUAGUUUAACCUUAAAACAUAACACUGAAAAUGUUAAACUGGCGCCUGCCUCUCUCCAU